UACAGAGGUCUCAAGUGUUGUUCGGAUUCAUUGGGCGUAAAGGGUGCGUAGGUGGCGAUGUAAGUCUGGUGUGAAAUCUCGGAGCUUAACUUCGAAAUUGCAUUGGAUACUGCGUUGCUUGAGGAUUGUAGAGGAGAGUGGAAUUCACGGUGUAGCAGUGAAAUGCGUAGAUAUCGUGAGGAAGACCAGUUGCGAAGGCGACUCUCUGGGUAAUUCCUGACACUGAGGCACGAAGGCCAGGGGAGCAAACAGG
rnacentral:rRNA from 1 species